UUUUUAAGCGAAUGCAAAUUAGAUUUCAAAUAGGGGCAUUUUUGGAAAAGAAUCGAGUUUGGGUGGCAGAAAACUGAAGAACUUGUAACUGUUUGCAACAGAAUUUGGAUUUUUUUUGGAGGAAAAGAUCACUCGAAUUUUCAGUUCCUCUUAAGUUUCUCUGAAAUUAUAGAUGUUAUUAAAAAUAUAUAUAAAAUACUAAGCUUAAUAAUCAAAGUCGAAAUUGAAUCCCAUGGCUUCUUGUCGGCGUAUGCUUCUAAAGGUCAUAAUUCUCGGUAACAGUGGGGUUGGAAAGACAUCUCUCAUGAAUCAGUAUGUUAAUCGUAAGUUUAGUAAUCAGUACAAAGCGACGAUCGGAGCCGAUUUUUUGACAAAAGAGGUUCAAUAUGAAGAUAGACUGUUUACAUUGCAGAUAUGGGAUACUGCUGGGCAGGAAAGAUUUCAAAGUUUAGGUGUGGCCUUCUAUCGAGGUGCCGAUUGCUGUGUACUCGUGUAUGACGUAAAUGUAAUGAAGUCCUUUGAUAAUCUUAAUAAUUGGCGUGAAGAGUUUCUGAUUCAGGCCAGUCCAUCUGACCCCGAAAAUUUUCCGUUUGUUGUGCUGGGAAAUAAGGUUGAUGUUGAUGGUGGCAAUAGUCGAGUGGUUUCUGAAAAGAAAGUAAAAGCAUGGUGUGCUUCAAAGGGAAACAUACCGUAUUUUGAGACCUCUGCAAAAGAAGGAUUCAAUGUUGAUGCAGCAUUUGAGUGCAUAACUAAAAAUGCUUUGAAAAAUGAACCUGAAGAAGAAAUAUACAUUCCUGAAACCAUUGAUGUUGCGGGUGGUGGACGGUCACGGAGAUCAACAGGGUGUGAGUGUUAAGAGUCGUGGACGGGUCUCUUUUUUAUUCGACUGCAAAAACAGCUGGAGUGGAUAUCUUCAUUACCAGGUACCAAGUAAUUGUAUAGCCAAGUGGAGUUCAAGCUGCCCUGAAGCUUGGGUUGAGUCGAUUGCGAUAAAAAACCAAACUAUUUGAGUGACCUCACUCAAUUAGAUUAAGAUAGUUUUACCUAGGAAAAUAUUAUUGGCUUUCUAUCUCACUUCAAAUUUAAUUAUCUAUACUAUUAUUUAAAUAUAUGACUGAGUUGAAAUCACAAAUUAAUUUGUACUAAAAAAAACAAUAACUCAAUACCAACUCUUCUUUCCCUGUGUAAGUACAAGCUUAAUUAGAAGAUUAUUGAUAAAUAUCUUGAGACUGA